AUUGAACGCUGGCGGCAUGCCUAACACAUGCAAGUCGAACGGUAACGACGGGAGCUUGCUCCCGGGCGACGAGUGGCGGACGGGUGAGUAAUACUUAGGAAUCUGCCCAGUAGUGGGGGACAACUCGAGGAAACUCGAGCUAAUACCGCAUACGCCCUACGGGGGAAAGCGGGGGAUCUUCGGACCUCGCGCUAUUGGAUGAGCCUAAGUCGGAUUAGCUUGUAGGUAGGGUAACGGCCUACCUAGGCAACGAUCCGUAGCUGGUCUGAGAGGACGAUCAGCCACACUGGAACUGAGACACGGUCCAGACUCCUACGGGAGGCAGCAGUGGGGAAUAUUGGACAAUGGGCGCAAGCCUGAUCCAGCAAUGCCGCGUGUGUGAAGAAGGCCUGCGGGUUGUAAAGCACUUUCAGUGGAGAAGAAAAGCUUACGGUUAAUACCCGUGAGUCUUGACGUAACCCACAGAAGAAGCACCGGCUAACUCCGUG
rnacentral:rRNA from 1 species